AAUAUUGGACAAUGGGGGCCACCCUGAUCCAGCCAUGCCGCGUGUGUGAAGAAGGUCUUCGGAUUGUAAAGCACUUUAAGUUGGGAGGAAGGGCUUUAGGUCAAUACCGUGACGUUUUGACGUUACCAACAGAACAAGCACGGGCCAACACUGUCCCCGCAGCCGCGGUAAUACAGAGGGUGCAAGCGUUAAUCGGAAUUACUGGGCGUAAAGCGCGCGUAGGUGGUUCAGUAAGAUGGGUGUGAAAUCCCCGGGCUUAACCUGGGAACUGCUUUCAUAACUGCUGAGCUAGAGUAAGGUAGAGGGUAGUGGAAUUUCCUGUGUAGCGGUGAAAUGCGUAGAUAUAGGAAGGAACACCAGUGGCGAAGGCGACUACCUGGACUGAUACUGACACUGAGGUGCGAAAGCGUGGGGAGCAAAC
rnacentral:rRNA from 1 species